UUAAGAUACUAAGAGCAUACGGUGGAUGCCUUGGCGAUAUCUGCCGACGAAGGACGUGACAAGCUGCGAAAAGCUGCGGAGAGAUGCAAAUAAUCGGCGACCCGCAGACAUCCGAAUGGAGCAAUCCGGCUGUGAUGAUGCACAGCCAUCCAUGCCCAAGAGCAUGAGAAGGGAACCGGGCGAACUGAAACAUCUAAGUAACCCGAGGAAAAGAAAUCAAACGAGAUACCCCAAGUAGCGGCGAGCGAACAGGGAAGAAGCCCAAACCGGUGAAGGAAACUUUACCGGGGUUGAGGACCAUCAGACCCGCGAAGAACCUUAGCCGAAACUGUUGGGAAACAGUGCCGAAGACAGUGAAAGCCUGGUAGGCGAAAAAGAGAAACGCGGAGAUGGCACCAGAGUACCGCGGGACACGAGAAAUCCCGUGGGAAGCCGGGGGGACCACCCUCCAAGGCAAAACACAGAUAUCGACCGAUAGCGCAUAGUACCAUGAGGGAAAGGUGAAAAGCACCCCGGGAGGGGAAUGAAAGAGAACCUGAAACCGUAUGUUUACAAGCAGUCGGAGACCGCUUAAUAAUAAGGUCGACGGCGUGCCUAUUGAAGAAUGAACCGGCGAGUUACGAAGCCUGGCAAGGUUAAGCAGGAAAUGCGGAGCCGAAGCGAAAGCGAGUCUUAAGAGGGCGCAAGUCAGGAAGCGUAGACCCGAAACCACAGUGAUCUACCCAUGUCCAGGUUGAAACACAGGUAAAAAUGUGUGGAGGACCGAACCUAUAUCCGUUGAAAAGGGUUAGGAUGAGGUGUGGGUAGGGGUGAAAUUCCAAUCGAACGUGGAGAUAGCUGGUUCUCCCCGAAAUAGCUUUAGGGCUAGCCUCAGGGAAAAGAUUGCAGGCGGUAGAGCACUGAUCAGGAGAGGGACCUACCCGGUUACCAAACCCAGUCAAACUCCGAAUGGCUGCAAUCAUACCUGGGAGUCAGACUGCGACUAAUAAGGGCCGCAGUCAAAAGGGAAACAGCCCAGACCAUCAGCUAAGGUCCCCAAUGCCGUGCUAAGUGGCGAAGGAUGUGGCAUUUCAUAAACAACCAGGAUGUUGGCUCAGAAGCAGCCACCAUUUAAAGAGUGCGUAAUAGCUCACUGGUCGAGAGACGCUGCGCCGAAAAUGUCCGGGGCUCAAGCACGGAACCGAAGCUAUGGCAUGAUAGCAAUAUCAUGGGUAGGGGAGCGUUCUUAUAAGGAAGAAGCAUGACCGGAAGGACAUGUGGACGAAUAAGAAGUGAGAAUGCCGGUAUGAGUAUCGAAAAGAAAGGUGAGAAUCCUUUCCACCGAAAGCCCGAGGGUUCCUGAGCAACGAUCGUCGACUCAGGGUAAGUCGGGACCUAAGCCGAGGCGAGAAGCGUAGGCGAUGGACAACAGGUUGAAAUUCCUGUACCGGAUCAAGUCGAUCGAGCGAAGGAGCGACGCAGGAGGGCACAUGAUCGCGCGGCUGGAAGAGCGCGUCCAAGUGCGUAUGUUGCAGCAGAGGAAAACCCCUGCAGCUAAAAGCAGAGACAUGAUGGGGAGUUAAAGGAAACUUUGACGAACUCAUGGAUCCCACACUGCCAAGAAAAACUUCUAGCGAGACAAGAUCCGCCCGUACCGUAAACCGACACAGGUAGGCGGGGAGAGAAUCCUAAGGUGCGCGGGAAAACCCUCGUUAAGGAACUCGGCAAAUUGCAUCCGUAACCUAGGGAGAAGGAUGGCCCCCGGUCAGUGAAGAGCAGAAACGCUCAGAGCUAAAAGGGGCGGCAGAAAAGAGGCCCAAGCAACUGUUUACCAAAAACACAGGUGCCUGCGAAAGCGAAAGCUGAAGUAUAGGUGCUGACGCCUGCCCGGUGCCGGAAGGUUAAGGAGAGAAGUUAGCGAAAGCGAAGCAUCGAACUGAAGCCCCGGUGAACGGCGGCCGUAACUAUAACGGUCCUAAGGUAGCGAAAUUCCUUGUCGGGUAA
rnacentral:rRNA from 1 species